rnacentral:rRNA from 1 species
GCGAACCAGGGGAACUGAAACAUCUAAGUACCCUGAGGAAAAGAAAUCAACCGAGAUUCCCUUAGUAGUGGCGAGCGAACGGGGACUAGCCCUUAAGUGGCUUUGAGAUUAGCGGAACGCUCUGGAAAGUGCGGCCAUAGUGGGUGAUAGCCCUGUACGCGAAAAUCUCUUAGUCAUGAAAUCGAGUAGGACGGAGCACGAGAAACUUUGUCUGAAUAUGGGGGGACCAUCCUCCAAGGCUAAAUACUACUGACUGACCGAUAGUGAACUAGUACCGUGAGGGAAAGGCGAAAAGAACCCCGGAGAGGGGAGUGAAAUAGAUCCUGAAACCGUAUGCGUACAAGCAGUGGGAGCCCACUUUGUUGGGUGACUGCGUACCUUUUGUAUAAUGGGUCAGCGACUUAUUUUCAGUGGCGAGCUUAACCGAAUAGGGGAGGCGUAGCGAAAGCGAGGCGGAAGAGGGCGUCUAGGCGCGGGGAAGAGACCCGAAACCGGGCGAGCGAGCCAGGGGCAGGUUGAAGGUUGGGUAACACUAACUGGAGGACCGAACCGACUACCGUUGAAAAGUUAGCGGAUGACCUGUGGAUCGGAGUGAAAGGCUAAUCAAGCUCGGAGAUAGCUGGUUCUCCUCGAAAGCUAUUUAGGUAGCGCCUCAUGUAUCACUGUAGGGGGUAGAGCACUGUUUCGGCUAGGGGGUCAUCCCGACUUACCAAACCGAUGCAAACUCCGAAUACCUACAAGUGCCGAGCAUGGGAGACACACGGCGGGUGCUAACGUCCGUCGUGAAAAGGGAAACAACCCAGACCGUCAGCUAAGGUCCCAAAGUUAUGGUUAAGUGGGAAACGAUGUGGGAAGGCUUAGACAGCUAGGAGGUUGGCUUAGAAGCAGCCACCCUUUAAAGAAAGCGUAAUAGCUCACUAGUCGAGUCGG